CAGGACACACGUCACGCUGCUGUUUGUUUAACAGCGACAGGACACACGUCACGCUGCUGUUUAACACGGGGUGUUCACGCACCUGCCUUCGGCGGGGCAGGAAAACACAAGCAGCUGCAGGGACAGCGGAGGGGGAGAACAGAGGGGAUCAAGGGGAUUCAAAGUGGAUCAAGGCGGCGGUUGUUCGCAGAAGCGUUUCGGUUGGAAAAGCUCCUCAGGCUCAUCGAAUCCGACUGUUCCCUGCCCCAUGUCCUGAGAACCCCGUGUCCUGUCCAGCCCUCCAGGGACGGCGACUGCAGCACUGCCCCGGGCAGCCCCUCAUGUGCCGCCUGUUCCAGCAGCUUCUCAACACCCCCCUCGUGUUCCUCAUCCCCGAGGAGCGGCCGAGGGACCUGGGGGUUCACUGGAGAACAGGAGCUGAGGGGAGACCUUCUGAUCUCUGAACUGCCUGAAAGGAGCUUGGAGCCAGGGGGGUCGGGCUCUGCUCCCCAGGAACAAGCGCCAGGAGCAGAGGAAACGGCCUCAAGUUGUGCCAGGGGAGGUUGAGGUUGGAUGUGGGAACAAUUUCUUCCCCAAAGGGCUGUGGGGCAUUGGAACAGGCUGCCCAGGGCAGUGCUGGAGUCACCAGCCCUGGAGGGCUGGACAGACGGACAGGAGGUUCUCAGGACACGGGGCAGGGUGGGUUAUGGUUGGACUCCAUGAGCUUGAGGGGCUUUUCCACCCAAGGUGACCCUGUUUCCUCUGCCAUGGCCCGUGUGGCCGCCAGGCUGCGCUUCACCCUGAUGUCUCAGCACCACCGUGAGCCUCUGGAGUUGUCACCUCUGCUGGUCCCACGUUACAGGACCAUUCCUCCAGCACACAUUCAGCCUCGUGCACUGUGGGAAACUGCAGCGGGUCUGUGGAAUCCUUGACAGAAAAUAGGAGCGUAGAGAUCAGCCUUGAGACAUUAAGAUUUGCCCUUGAGAAGGAUGGGAGUAAAGGAGUAUCCGGAGAGAGGAGAGAUGUACCCGGGAGAGAGCAGGGGAUAGAAGAAUAACAUGGAUGAUAGCAAAAUUAGCCAAUGAGAUGUUAGUGCUGUAACUUGUAACCAAUAGUGAAAAGACACAUGAACUGGUAGAAUUGUAUAAAAAUGCACUUGUAGCAAUAAAUGGCAUCUAUUACUUUCAUCUUGAAAGAA